ensembl:lncRNA
AGUGGCAAUCCCAUUAUCAGUCCCUAUCCCAGCCCCACAGUGGUUUCAGCUCUAGCCCUGGAGAGCCCUUCCCAGCCCAAGUGAUUAUAGCUCUUGGCCCACAAGCUUUAUUUCACUGGCUGCUCUCUUCUUCCAGCUCCAGAUGCGUGUUUCUUCAAUGCUGCUGGCAGAAACUUCUCCAGGUACAAGGCGCAGGAUCUUCCUCCUGUCUCCAGCUUGGCAACAUUUCAGCUCCCACCCUAGGGCCUAGAAGCCCACCCAAAAGUCAAUGUCCCAGCCCCACAGUGAAUUCAGCACCAGCGCUACAGUGGCUAUCAAAGACGCAGGCAAAAUCCCUAACCCGAACCCAUUUCAGCUCCCCUGUUACGGUCCCAUUAUUUUGCCCCUACCCAUCUUGUUCUAUUUCCAGUCCCAGGACCCAGCCCCAACAUCCAUAUCCCAGGCCUACAGUGAUUCCAGCACACAGAUCCUACAGUGGCUAUGUCACUGUCAGUCCCUAUCCCAGCCCCACAGUGAUUUCAGCUCUUGGCCCACAAGCUUUAUUUCACUGCAAGCUCUCUUCUUCCAGCUCCAGAUGCGUGUUUCUUCAAUGCUGCUGGCAGAAACUUCUCCAGGUACAAGGCGCAGGAUCUUCCUCCUGUCUCCAGCUCGGCAACAUUUCAGCUCCCACCCUAGGGCCUAGAAGCCCACCCUACAGUCAAUGUCCCCGCCCCACUGUGAAUUCAGCACCAGCGCUACAGUGGCUAUCAAAGACGCAGGCAAAACCCUGGCACUGCCAGUAUUUCAGCUCCCAUGUUAUGGUCCCAUUAUUUUGCCCCUACCCAUCUUGUUCUAUUUCCAAUCACAGGACCCAGCCCCAACAUCCAUAUCACAGGCCUACAGUGAUUCCAGCAGACAGAUCCUACAGUGGCUAUCCCAUUAGCAGUCCCUAUCCCAGCCCCACAGUGAUUUCAGCACCAGUCCUACAAUGGCUAUCAAAGACGCAGUCAAAAUCACGGUACUGCCACCAUUUCAGGUCCCAUGUUACAGUCCCAUUAUUUUGCCCCUACGCAUCUUGUUCUAUUUCCAAUCACAGGACUCAGCCCCAACAUCCAUAUCACAGGCCUACAGUGAUUCCAGCACACAGAUCCUACAGUGGCAAUCCCAUUAGCAGUCCCUAUCCCAGCCCCACAGUGAUUUCAGCCGCAGCGCUACAGGGCUAUCAAAGACGCAGACAAAAUCCCUAACCCGAACCCAUUUCAGCUCCCCUGCUACGGUCCCAUUAUUUUGCCCCUACCCAUCUUGUUCUAUUUCCAAUCACAGGACCCAGCCCCAACAUCCAUAUCACAGCCUAAAGUGAUUCCAGCACACAGAUCCUACAGUGGCAAUCCCAUUAUCAGUCCCUAUCCCAGCCCACAGUGAUUUCAGCUCUUGCCCUGGAGAGCCCUUUCCCUGCCCCAGUGAUUUCAGCUCUUGGCCCACAAGCUUUAUUUGACUGCCAGCUCUUGUGUUGCGCUUCUGCCUCCUCAUCUUCCCAGCAUUGCCACAUCAUGCUGCUUUCUGGCUCUCCAGGCAGGAUUUCUGUUUUAGCUCUAGCUCUGUGGUUUGAGUUUAGCUCUUGAACCCACAUUCCAACCCCAACCUGACCAUCCUUACUGGAGGAACAGCUCUUCAAGGCCCUAUCCCAGCCCUUACUCUGACUUCAGCUCCAGCCACGCAGUUUGCAUCCCAGCUCCAUAUUCCUUAUCCCAGCCCCACAACAGUUUU